AAAGCGCACGUAGGCGGAUCGAUCAGUCAGGGGUGAAAUCCCAGAGCUCAACUCUGGAACUGCCUUUGAUACUGUCGAUCUGGAGUAUGGAAGAGGUAAGUGGAAUUCCGAGUGUAGAGGUGAAAUUCGUAGAUAUUCGGAGGAACACCAGUGGCGAAGGCGGCUUACUGGUCCAUUACUGACGCUGAGGUGCGAAAGCGUGGGGAGCAAACAGGAUUAGAUACCCUUGU
rnacentral:rRNA from 1 species